rnacentral:rRNA from 1 species
UCCAGACUCCUACGGGAGGCAGCAGUCGGGAAUAUUGCACAAUGGAGGAAACUCUGAUGCAGUGACGCCGCGUGCAGGAAGAAGGUUUUCGGAUUGUAAACUGCUUUAGACAGGGAAGAAACAAGACAGUACCUGUAGAAUAAGCUCCGGCUAACUACGUGCCAGCAGCCGCGGUAAUACGUAGGGAGCGAGCGUUGUCCGGAAUUACUGGGUGUAAAGGGAGCGUAGGCGGGCGAGAAAGUUGAAUGUUAAAUCUACCGGCUUAACUGGUAGCUGCGUUCAAAACUUCUUGUCUUGAGUGAAGUAGAGGCAGGCGGAAUUCCUAGUGUAGCGGUGAAAUGCGUAGAUAUUAGGAGGAACACCAGUGGCGAAGGCGGCCUGCUGGGCUUUAACUGACGCUGAGGCUCGAAAGCGUGGGGAGCAAACAGGAUUAGAUACCCUUGUA